rnacentral:rRNA from 1 species
UACGUAGGGGGCAAGCGUUGUUCGGAUUCAUUGGGCGUAAAGGGUGCGUAGGUGGCAUGGUAAGUCGGAUGUGAAAUCCCUCGGCUUAACCGGGGAACUGCAUCUGAUACUGGAUGGCUUGAGUUUGGGAGAGGGAUGCGGAAUUCCUGGUGUAGCAGUGAAAUGCGUAGAUAUCAGGAGGAAUACCGAUGGCGAAGGCAGGUCUCUGGGCUGACACUGACGCUCAUGCACGAAAGCGUGGGGAGCAAACAGG